GUCCACGCCGUAAACGUUGGGCACUAGGUGUGGGUUCCAACCAACGGGAUCCGUGCCGCAGCUAACGCAUUAAGUGCCCCGCCUGGGGAGUACGGCCGCAAGGCUAAAACUCAAAGGAAUUGACGGGGGCCCGCACAAGCGGCGGAGCAUGUUGCUUAAUUCGAGGCAACGCGAAGAACCUUACCUGGGUUUGACAUUCUGGGAAAAGCCGUAGAGAUACGGUGUCCGAAAGGGUCCAGAACAGGUGGUGCAUGGCUGUCGU
rnacentral:rRNA from 1 species